CUAUAAGGCUGCUGUCUCAUGUAUCCUUGGAUUACCAAGAUGGAGAAGAGAAGAGGUCCCCCACUCCAAACACAAAGUAUUAAAGCUGAACUGUUCAGCUUGAGAGGAAGGAAGGGCCAGGAGAAGGAAGCACAUCAUUGUAGCAAGAUCCUGCUGUGCUUAUGGCAGACUUCACAGCCUUCCUCUGGCUUAACAGAAGCCCGGCUCCCUCCCUUACUGACCCCUCACUCUCCCUCGCCUGAGCCUCUUGGUGCUGUUAAAAACAGACAGCUGGACUCAAUGGAGUCACUAAGCCCCACCUUAGCAAACCAAGACUUAAUAUCCAACCUAAUUGCAGUCUCAGUCCCUCUCAGGAAUGUCAUCUUAAUUGGGAAGUACUAGUGCGUUAAUCCUCAAGGAAGGUGACCUUGCCUGAAAACAAUCCACUCAUUUUCCUCUUCUGCCUGUAAGAACCUUCCACUUUGUAGAGCUCCUUGGAGCUCCUUUCUAUAUGCUGG
rnacentral:lncRNA from 1 species